UUUAAUUGAAGAGUUUGAUCAUGGCUCAGAUUGAACGCUGGCGGCAGGCCUAACACAUGCAAGUCGAGCGGCAGCACAGAGAAACUUGUUUCUCGGGUGGCGAGCGGCGGACGGGUGAGUAAUGCCUGGGAAAUUGCCCUGAUGUGGGGGAUAACCAUUGGAAACGAUGGCUAAUACCGCAUGAUGCCUACGGGCCAAAGAGGGGGACCUUCGGGCCUCUC
rnacentral:rRNA from 1 species